rnacentral:rRNA from 1 species
AUUGAACGCUGGCGGCAUGCCUUACACAUGCAAGUCGAACGGUAACGGGCCUUCGGGUGCCGACGAGUGGCGAACGGGUGAGUAAUACAUCGGAACGUGCCCGAUCGUGGGGGAUAACGAGGCGAAAGCUUUGCUAAUACCGCAUACGGUCUACGGAUGAAAGCCGGGGACCGCAAGGCCUUGCGCGGACGGAGCGGCCGAUGGCAGAUUAGGUAGUUGGUGGGAUAAAAGCUUACCAAGCCGACGAUCUGUAGCUGGUCUGAGAGGAUGAUCAGCCACACUGGAACUGAGACACGGCCCAGACUCCUACGGGAGGCAGCAGUGGGGAAUUUUGGACAAUGGGCGCAAGCCUGAUCCAGCCAUGCCGCGUGCAGGAUGAAGGCCUUCGGGUUGUAAACUGCUUUUGUACGGAACGAAAAGCCUUCUUUUAAUACAGGAGGGUCAUGACGGUACCGUAAGAAUAAGCACCGGCUAACUACGUG